rnacentral:tRNA from 3 species
GCUCAAGUGGUGGAAUUGGUAGACACGUUGGAUUCAAAAUCCAAUGUCGCAAGACGUGUGGGUUCGAUUCCCACCUUGAGUA